GGCAAAAAACAGCAAAAAAGUAAGGCUAUACCCUUUACUUUUCGUCCAUUUUUGGCGACUUUUUUCAUUUUUCAUAAGUGGGCAAAAAACAGCAAAAAAGUAAGGCUAUACCCUUAACUUUUCGUCCAUUUUUGGCGACUUUUUCAUUUUUAAUAAGUGGGCAAAAAACAGCAAAAAAGUAAGGCUAUAGCCUUCGUCCAUUUUUAGCGACUUUUUUCAUUUUUCAUAAGUGGGCAAAAAACAGCAAGAAAGUAAGACUAUACCCUUUACUUUUCGUCCAUUUUUGGCGACUUUUUUCAUUUUUCAUAAGUGGGCAAAAAACAGCAAAAAAGUAAGGCUAUACCCUUAACUUUUCGUCCAUUUUUGGCGACUUUCUUCAUUUUUCAUAAGUGGGCAAAAAACAGCAAGAAAGUAAGGCUAUACCCUUUACUUUUCGUCCAUUUUUAGUGACUUUUUUCAUUUUUAAUAAGUGGGCAAAAACAGCAAAAAAGUAAGGCUAUACCCUUAACUUUUCGUCCAUUUUUGGCGACUUUUUUCAUUUUUCAUAAGUGGGCAAAAAACGACUUUUUUCAUUUUUCAUAAGUGGGCAAAAAACAGCAAGAAAGUAAGGCUAUACCCUUUACUUUUCGUCCAUUUUUAGCGACUUUUUUCAUUUUUAAUAAGUGGGCAAAAAACAGCAAAAAAGUAAGGCUAUACCCUUAACUUUUCGUCCAUUUUUGGCGACUUUUUCAUUUUUAAUAAGUGGGCAAAAAACAGCAAAAAAGUAAGGCUAUACCCUUUACUUUUCGUCCAUUUUUGGCGACUUUUUUCAUUUUUCAUAAGUGGGCAAAAAACAGCAAAAAAGUAAGGCUAUACCCUUACGUCCAUUUUUAGCGACUUUUUUCAUUUUUCAUAAGUGGGCAAAAAACAGCAAAAAAGUAAGGCUAUACCCUUUACUUUUCGUCCAUUUUUAGCGACUUUUUUCAUUUUUC
rnacentral:lncRNA from 1 species